GUUUUUAAACCCCGAUUAGGAUAUCAAAAAAUCCCAACUGUCAUCUAACCCUAAAAUCUAUAAACCUGGGAGAAUUAUCUCAAGAACGACGCGGCAAAGAAAGGAAGGAGCAAGCUUAAAAGAAAACACUUCUUGAUUUGAUUUCCCUUUCCUUUUAUUUUUAGUCUUGAAUCCUCACUCAGAGAGAUUUCUUGCUCGCUGCCCCAAGGUUGGGGGUGUUCAGCGGUUCAAGUUUCUUGUCGAAAAGGUAUUUAUUUCUUGAGCUUCAUAUUCAACAUGGGAGGGGUUUGGAUCUUCAUGAGCUUUCUUGCCUUGUCUUCUGCCGUGCCCUUGAUUUGGCUCCUUUUUUUGGGAAGAAGAAGCUUCAAAGCCGACAGAAGAAACUGAAAGCAUAUGACCUUUCUUCCCUGUCAGAGUUUCUCCCUGAGUUGAAAGCUUCUAAACAACCUAACCCUGCCAAUGGUUUCAAGCUCAAAUUGCAAAUCCGGGCAACAACUAAUAUUAAAAGAAGGAAAACAGUUGAGUGCAGUUCUCGAGCAUCCUGCUUUCCAAGACGAUCCACUAUCUGCCAUUCAUCAACACGUCUGGAUCACAAUCAAUGGAUAUCUAGGUAGCUCGGUUUUCCUUCAUCGGUUUUCCCUCAAAUUUAGUUAUUCUAUUACAGUCAAUGGAUCUCUAAGUACCCUUUCCUUUUGGGGUUUACAAUGCCUUCUCAUCAACGUAAUUCAUAUUAAAUGCUAAAUGAAAAUUGGUGAAAUGUUGAUGAACUAUCUCAUUGCAACAUGAUCAUGUUCAAAAUGAACCAACAGUGUAUUUAAACAGAAAGCUAUAUAUAAUCGACAGCUAGAAGUACAAGAAACGCCAAGAGAAUCAACUUUUAGAGGCGGAUUGAAAGAUGAAAAUAGCAGUCAAAACACCAACCAAUGCAGUCACGGCCAAGGCCACCGUAGGUAAAGGUGUUGUGAGGCCAAAAUUCUGCAGAGAACCAAGAUAUAAACUUGUAAAAACAUGGUAGUUAAAACAUGAAUUAGAAACCAAAAUGGCACAAUGGGUACCUCCAAAAGUCCCUUGCCAGUGGAUAUUUCAACGGUAAUGGCUACUGCAAAACCAACCAUGGCGAGCCUGCCUAGCCAUACAUCCAAGCUGUUGCCUUUCUGGGUGCUUUGCUCACAUUUGAUGGAGAAUGGUGUUGCUUUGCACGCAGGCUUUCUUUGGUGAAAUGGCCCCCUUAUCACUGCAAGCAAAAAGCAACCAUUUUAUCCACCAAACAGUGCAUAAAAUGGUGAAGACUAGGGACUGAAAAUGACCAAAUCCAUGAAGAUUAGCAUUAGAAAAACUCAAAAUUGCUUACGUAGAGGGGAACCAGUGGCAAAAAUGGAGCCCGUUCGUGAAAAACUGGAAAUGGGUAAGCGAGAAAUUUUGUGGGUUGUUGGCGAGCUUAUAGGGCAGGCAUCUGCAACACAAGAAAUUGGAAUAAAGAGUUAUUAAUAAGCAAAAAUAUCAAAGA